AUACUACUCCCUCCGUUCGGAAUUACUUGUCUCGGAAACGGAUGUAUCUAGAACUAAAAUACAUCUAGAUACAUUCAUUUUCUAGACAAGUAAUUCCAACCGGAGGGAGUACUUU
rnacentral:pre_miRNA from 1 species